AGAAUCAACGCUGGCGGCGUGCCUAACACAUGCAAGUCGAACGAGAAAGGGUAGCAAUACCUGAGUAAAGUGGCGCACGGGUGAGUAACACGUGACUAACCUACCUUUUAGUGGGGGAUAACCUAGGGAAACCUGGGCUAAUACCGCAUAAUACCUACGGGUCAAAGCAGCAAUGCGCUGAAUGAGGGGGUCGCGGUCGAUUAGUUAGUUGGCAGGGUAAUGGCCUACCAAGACUGUGAUCGAUAUCCGGCCUGAGAGGGCGCACGGACACACUGGAACUGAAACACGGUCCAGACUCCUACGGGAGGCAGCAGUGGGAAUUUUGCGCAAUGGGGGAAACCCUGACGCAGCAACGCCGCGUGCACGAGGAAGGUCUUCGGAUCGUAAAGUGCUGUCGAGGGGGACGAUUAUGACGGUACCCCUGGAGGAAGCCCGGCUAACGUACGCGCCAGCAGCCGC
rnacentral:rRNA from 1 species